UACGUAGGGACCGAGCGUUGUCCGGAAUCAUUGGGCGUAAAGAGCGUGUAGGCGGCCACUUAAGUCCUGCGUGAAAUCUUGCGGCUCAACCGCAAGCGGUCGUGGGAAACUGGGUGGCUAGAGUGCGGGAGAGGAGAGUGGAAUUCCUGGUGUAGUGGUGGAAUGCGUAGAUAUCGGGGAGGAACACCAGUGGCGAAGGCGGCAUGUCCUGGGGCCGUUA
rnacentral:rRNA from 1 species